rnacentral:rRNA from 1 species
CGGACGGGUGAGUAAUGCAUAGGAAUCUGCCCGAUAGUGGGGGAUAACCUGGGGAAACCCAGGCUAAUACCGCAUACGUCCUACGGGAGAAAGGGGGCUCCGGCUCCCGCUAUUGGAUGAGCCUAUGUCGGAUUAGCUAGUUGGUGAGGUAAAGGCUCACCAAGGCGACGAUCCGUAGCUGGUCUGAGAGGAUGAUCAGCCACAUCGGGACUGAGACACGGCCCGAACUCCUACGGGAGGCAGCAGUGGGGAAUAUUGGACAAUGGGCGAAAGCCUGAUCCAGCCAUGCCGCGUGUGUGAAGAAGGCCCUCGGGUUGUAAAGCACUUUCAGCAAGGAAGAACGCCUAGUGGUUAAUACCCUUUAGGAAAGACUUCACUCGGAGAAAAAACGCCGGCUAACUCCGUGCCAGCAGCCGCGGUAAUACCGAGGGUGCAAGCGUUAGUCGGAAUUACUGGGCGUACAGCGCGCGUAGGUGGCUUGAUAAGCCGGUUGUGAAAGC